GCAUAACAUUCAAGCAGACGAAAGUGUAAACAAUUUAAUAUUUUAUCAUUCUCAGAAUUAAAAUGAUUUUUCGGAGUUUAAACAAAUUGUCCUUCAGAACAUUACAUUCUACCACCAAGGAUACUGUGAGAAUAGUUUUGAUAUCUGACACACAUAGUCGACAUGAUAGACUUGGAGAACUACCCGAGGGAGAUCUACUCAUCCAUGCAGGAGACUUUACUAGUGCCAGACCCUCAAAACCUCAGGAGUUCAAAGAUUUUGUUGAUU